AAUCAACGCUGGCGGCGUGCCUAACACAUGCAAGUCGCACGAGAAAGGGGAGCAAUCCCUGAGUAAAGUGGCGCACGGGUGAGUAACACGUGAAUCAUCUACCUCCGAGUGGGGAAUAACUGAGAGAAAUCUUAGCUAAUACCGCAUAACACUUACGAGUCAAAGCAGCAAUGCGCUUGGAGAGGAGUUCGCGGCCGAUUAGUUAGUUGGCGGGGUAANGGCCCACCAAGACGAUGAUCGGUAUCCGGCCUGAGAGGGCGCACGGACACACUGGAACUGAAACACGGUCCAGACUCCUACGGGAGGCAGCAGUGGGGAAUUUUGCGCAAUGGGGGAAACCCUGACGCAGCAACGCCGCGUGGAGGAUGAAGUAUCUUGGUACGUAAACUCCUUUCGAUUGGGAAGAUAAUGACGGUACCAAUAGAAGAAGCCCCGGCUAACUUCGUGCCAGCAGCCGCCGCGGUAAC
rnacentral:rRNA from 1 species